AGUGAACGCUGGCGGUAGGCCUAACACAUGCAAGUCGAACGGCAGCACAGUAAGAGCUUGCUCUUACGGGUGGCGAGUGGCGGACGGGUGAGGAAUACGUCGGAAUCUACUUUUUCGUGGGGGAUAACGUAGGGAAACUUACGCUAAUACCGCAUACGACCUACGGGUGAAAGCAGGGGAUCUUCGGACCUUGUGCGAUUGAAUGAGCCGAUGUCGGAUUAGCUAGUUGGCGGGGUAAAUGCCCACCAAGGCGACGGUCCGUAGCUGGUCUGAGAGGAUGAUCGGCGACACUGGAAGUGAGACACGGUCCAGGCUCCUACGGGAGGCAGCAGUGGGGAAUAGUGGACAAAGGGCGCAAGCAUGAUCCAGCCGUACCGAGUGGGUGAAGGAGGCCUUCGGGUUGUAAAGCCCUUUUGUUGGGAAAGAAAAGCAGCAGGUUAAUACCCCGCUGUUCUGACGGUACCCAAAGAAUAAGCACCGGCUAACUUCGUG
rnacentral:rRNA from 1 species